GCAGAAUUGCUUUUGAAAGCUACUCAGUGUGCAUAUUAAUGAUGACCUACCAUUUUUCUGUCUGCCAGAAAAACAUUCCAGUGUACUGUGGCUGCCUUGACCUGUUGGGGGAGUUGCAUCUACCCAUGGACACAGAAAA
rnacentral:snoRNA from 1 species